rnacentral:rRNA from 1 species
GACGAACGCUGGCGGCGUGCUUAACACAUGCAAGUCGUACGGUAAGGCCCUUUCGGGGGUACACGAGUGGCGAACGGGUGAGUAACACGUGAGUAACCUGCCCACAACUUUGGGAUAACGCUAGGAAACUGGUGCUAAUACUGGAUAUGUGCUCCUGCUGCAUGGUGGGGGUUGGAAAGCUCCGGCGGUUGUGGAUGGACUCGCGGCCUAUCAGCUUGUUGGUGGGGUAGUGGCCUACCAAGGCGGCGACGGGUAGCCGGCCUGAGAGGGUGACCGGCCACGGUGGGGCUGAGAGACGGCCCAGGCCCCGGCGGGGGGCAGAGGGGGGGAAGUUGGCACAAGGGGGGCAAGCGUGAGGCAGCACCGCGGGGGGGGGGAGGACGGCCUGGGGGUUGAACCCCCUUUCCAGCGGGGACGAAGUUUUGUGGGAGGGUCCCGGAAAAAAAAGCCCGGGCAAACUACGGC